rnacentral:lncRNA from 1 species
GCGGGUGAUAAUAUUCUGGAGUGGAGACGCAACGAGUCUCGAGCGAGGGAGUGGAGUUCCAAAAUCCCAUGAACAAGCGGGGCGAGAAAAGCCCGUCCCGAGACGAUUCAAUUGAGUGUCUAGGAUCAUCAGGAACAAACCUGAGGAGGUUGUUACCUCACAUCCUGAUCUGACCCUUUGAGGUGGUCAGGGGGACAGGUUAUGGAUCCGUACAGAUCGUUUUUCGAAUGCUCUGAGCUCAGAAUCAUCGUUCGGGAAUCCUUGUUCGGAUUCGAGCCUACCCGUCGAGCUUGAAUAGGAUGGUAUUGUUCCUUUCUUUGUCUAGGUGACGAUUUAUUUUCUUAUUCUGAAUUCGUAGGUGUGUGCAGCUAUGGCGAAGAGAGUUAGCUUUAAGAAGAUUGGCGAGAAGCUCAGGAAGGCGGGGGGUGCGAGCUGGGGACUCCCGUUCGCACAAAGGGAGUCGUUAAUUGGCGAGGAAGCGGGCCGGAGGAAAGAUGCAUCACCAGCUCGCCCAGCAAAAAGGGGAAUGGUCGAUGACGGCUCGAAGGGAAAAGGAGUUGAAACGGCCCUGAGGGCAAGAAAGGAAGGCGACCUCAUCAGGGCAAAGCCCCGACCACCCAGCCACCGGCAUCUCCUCGUCCUAGGCAGGUUUCCGGCCAUCUAAUUCCGGCACUGUCUGGGCCCCACGGCUUCUAUGUUGGGCAGCACGUAUGGCCGAAGGAAAGAAGUUGUUGCAGGGGAUUCCCCCGGCCGACAAGGAGAAGGUGGAGAAGCUAACCUUGAUCAAAACGGAGAAGAAGCUCUUUCACGUGUUCGGUUAGGGACUUCGGGAGCUGUCAAUUUUUCUAUCGAUUUUCAUUUGAUCGGGAUUGUUAAAAUAAAAAAUGUUCCGUUCUUAUAUCAGCGUUGGUGCUCGGUUUCAUCUUUGGCAGUAUGUAGAAGGGAGGCCGGGGAGCAGGCAUCUAUUCAAGAGGGGGCGAGCUGCUUGCUUCCAUGGAAAAUGAGAUUGCUUGCUCCAAAAGGUACUGGCCGACAUGGGAACAACAAAUGGCUGAGUCAGUGCUCGGAGCAGCGGCCAAUGGACGAGUGGCCAAGGCGAAGACGAUGAGGAUCGCUGUCCGACAGUCGAAGAGGGUCGGUAUGUUGGUGAUGAACGAACGAGGGAAGCUUGAAUUAAUCCAAGAAAUUGCCGUGGAGGAGUUCAAAUCCAGUCGGAGGAGUUCAUCGGUGGCAGUUGAAGAUUCCGCUCCAAAUACUUUGGGAGAGGGGUUUAAACCUUCUGCAAGGUGCAACUCGCCGACAUAAUCCUGACUUGCUAUCGACCUUGGAAGCACUGUGGGUCUGAUCAGAUCUGCUGGCGGAGCAAGAGAGGCGAUGAGGAGAAUGAAAAGGAAAAAAACGGGCGAGAAUGAGGGGGUAAUUGAAAGAUAAUGCCCCGGAGGGUUAAAAUUUUUUUUUUUUUUUGAGAUUGUAUGUAAUGUUAUUCCCUUUGAACGAAAAAGUUUGUGCUCCCCCGUUUUUUGGUAUAUGUUUGUGUUAAUGGUGGAUAAUGAGUUCUGGUGGUGAAAUCUCAAAACCCAAACAAAUUGGCGACUUCAAUAAUGGCGACGAUCAAGAUUCCUUUUGUCAUUUUAUUUCGAACUGGCGGUUUCAAUAUUGGCGACAUCAAUCGUGGCGAUUCAAGAUGUCAUUUCCACAAUGGAUUGGCGAAAGAUUAAUAUUGAAGCAUGAAUAAUUGGCGAUCAAGUGUCAUUCCGAAUGGAUUGACAACCUUAAUUGGCGACAUCAAUCUUUUGUAUAAACGACGAGAUAGAUCAUAGGCGAAUCGCAACAAUUUCCAAUAUAAAAAUCCAAACCAUAAAUCUAGUUGGGGAGUCGUGUGAAUGGAGCGUUUCAUGGCUGUCAUUUAUGAUCGUAUUUCUGCAAAUGCUCGGCAUUCCAGGGAUUGUAAAGUGUUUUCCGUUGGGUAUUCUAACCAGUAAGUCCCGUGGUUCUGGAGACCUUAACGACUUUGAAGGACCUUCCCAAGUUGCGGCUGAGUUCCCCGCAUUUGGUUCUUAGUUGAUAUGGUACCCUCGCAAGACCAGGUCGCCAGGAAGGAACGACGGUGUUUGACCUUUGAUGUAGUAUUUGGCGACUUGGCAUUUGUAAAGCUGCAUUUGGUCGUAGUUCAGCCUUCUCUCUUCUCUCUCGAGGAGAUCAAGUUGAGCUGAGCUCGGCCUCAUUGCUUCUUUAUCGAAAUUCGAAGUUGAAACUUGGGCCUACCUAUUUCUACUGUAGACCAACAGUACCGAAUACCAUGGAGUAUGGAGUUUCGCCGUUAGAAAUCCGCUAGUAGUAUGGAUAGCCCAAAGAUCUUGGCAAGUCUUCCGCCUACUUGCUUUUGUGACCUUGCUAACCUCGCCUUCCAAAUCUGAGGAUGUUACGAUUGGUUACUUCAACUUGCCCAUUAGCUGAGGAUGACCGGGCGAGAGAAAUGAUGGAGUGGCGAGAUCCGAGCAAAAAAGAAUAACUUAAACUUGUCGUUGCCGAACUGCCUUGAGUUUGUCCGAGAUGAUAACCGUUGGGAUUCCGAAUCUGUACACGGUGUUUCCAUACGAAAUUCCGGGUAGUUUUCUCAGUAACUUGGGCGAGAGGCUGAGCUUCUAAAUCAUUUAGUAAAAUGUCCUAUUGGUCGACGAUCAACAAAUUUUCCUUGCAGGGGGCUCGUGGUAAGGGGGACCCCGUAUGUCUAGUCCCACUGGGCUAAUGCCAGGGGCUUGACAAUCGUUACCAUCUCAGUGUGGGGGUAGACGGCUGACGGGGGAAACCUCUGCACUUGUCGCAUCUCCUUAUUAUACGUAGCCGCAUCUCGUUCUAUCAUGGUCGGCCCAAAAAUAUCCCUUGACUAAUAGUUUCCUCGCCAAUGACCUGCUGCUCCCGGAGUUGAUUCCCGCAGAUGUCUUCAUGUAUUUCCUCGUACAACGUGUUCUGUCUGCCCUUCUGGUCGAGACAUUUCAAAAGUGGUCGCUGGAAAAAGACCUUUUUUAUGCGUUUGCUUGAAAAUGCAAACCAUGUGGUCUGUAUUGGAGACGGCGAGCUUUAGCUUAUCCUUUUCAAGAUCCCCUCUCUGGAGAUAGCAAUAAUCUCAUCCAUCCACGGUCGGAUUUUUUUCUAUUUGGAGGAUUUGAUUGUCGACCCCAAAUGCUUGGGCUAGCUAGAAAUUCCCAGAGUUUGCAACCUUUCGAAAUACACUCAAGGUUGAUGCCAGAAUUAGCUAAUGCGAUGUUCCUUCUUAUUAGAUCCUCUCGGGAAUUUUGGUGGCUUUUAAACCUCCUUUAUCUUUGCGGGACGCACGCUUUACCUCGCCCAAGUAAGCCAUCAUUCUUGGCGUCCUUGGCGAAGGCCAAGCCCCUUGGACUGGUUUUCCACCAGUUGUGAGUCACUGAAGAUUUUCAAAUAUUGUGCCCCUAACUCAGUCGUUACUCUUAGUCCUGCGAGGAGGUUCGUACUCGGCUUCAUUGUGUGGCUUUAAUCCCAUUCUUAUGGCGUACUCAUUUGCUCGCCUGAUUGAGUUUGUAUACGAGCCCUUCCCACAACCGUGGCUGGGUUAGAAGAGCCAUCGACGAAUAAUAUCCAGUGGGCGAGGUCUUUUUCUGAGGUUGGUUCUUUUAAGAAUUUCCAUUUCAGGAUGGAGCCGUUUCUGGUUGUGGAUGUCUUUCAUGGUUAGAUGCGACCAUACAAUCAGUCGGGGCCUGGGCCUUUUCUUUCCACCUCGGCCUGUACUCAAUGUGGAACUCACUUAAUCUCGUAUGGACCAUUUAAGUAGUCGACCUAUGUGUCUAAGUCGCUGAAAAAUCUGCCUUAGUGGGUGGGGGGGGGUUUUUGGGGGGGGAUCAUCGGUACUAUGAUGGGAUGGCUUGAAAGUAAUGACGAAGUUUUCUGGCGGCGAUCAAUUAUGGUCGAGGCAAGCUUUUCGAUCUUCGGAUAUCUGCCUCUUCACCCUUAAACUUUGCUAACGUAAUAUAUUGGUCUUUGGACCUGAUCUUCUUCUUGGAUUGAGCACAACACUUACUGCGGUAGGCGAAUAGAUAAAUAUCCGUAGAAAAUUCUCGCCGGGGUGGGGGACUGUGAGUAAGGCGGAACCGAGGCAUACUCUUUCAGCUGUUGGAUGCAUUUUUAUAUUCCUCGUUCCAUUGAAAUGCCUGUGCUUUUUCUCAGGAUUCUAAAAAGGGGAGGCACUUGUCCACAGAUUUGGAGACAAAUCCUGUUAAGGCGGCUACUCGACCAGUCAGCUACUAUACGUCUCGGAUAUUUAUGGGCGACCUCAUCGCAGUUAGGGCUUGGAUCUAUCUGAGUUUACCUCUAUCCACGCUUGGUGAACCUGAAAUCCUAAAAAUUGUCCCGGACGACACUCCAAAAAGUGCAUUUAGCAAGAGGGAUUUCAACAUCAUCCGGUGGCGACGCAUGAUUCUAAAGCGUCUUUAAGGGGGCGAUGUGGUUGGUGAUCUGAGACUUUUUUGACCAGCAAUAUUCAUAAGUGGGGUGGGGAAACUUAGCUUUCAGGUGAUAGUUCGAGGUGAUGUCCUUGAUCCUUUAAAAUACUAUUAAAUUGGUCGCCCCAAGAUGGCGUUUAAGUCGACGGCAAUCUACCAAGAGAAUAAAUCCUGCCAUAUAAACGUAUGGUCUGGUGGGGUCUUCCCAUGAGUUAUCGGUAAGUUUGAUCCAUCCCAAGGGGUGUGGUCGUAUUCCCUCCAAACGAUAGGGGGGUAUGGAAAGUGUGCAACUUGUCCAGCCUAAUUUUCAUUCUUUCGAAAAACGCUAGAUAAACAAGCUAUCCGCCUAUCUCCCGUUGUCGAUUAAAAUCCUUUGGAACGUAAAUUGGGAUGACGCCUCAACAACCAGGCAUCAUCGUGGGGUAAGUGUAAGCCUCUCAAAUCAUCAUUGCUGAAGGUGAUGGGUGUUUUGGGGUUCGCACGAAUUAUGAGGAGAGAUUGUAGAUCUCUUCUUCGGCCGGUCUAUGGGGCACUUCUUGCCUGCCUUUUUCCGGAUGAGGUCAAAUAACUGAAAUACUGCACCGACCCGAAACCUACCGCCAUGGCUGUUUUGUAUAUAUCGCCCCGCAGGUGGUCCCUGUGUCGCUUUAACCACCUUCUUUCUAGGGAGUUGGGCAGUGGGCUAGUAGUCGACUCUUUCCUUCCUCAAAUAACCCCUUUAAUGAGGUCGGCAAUUUGUUCUUUCAAUUGAAAACACUCCUCAGUAUGUGUGUCCGUGAUCCCUGUGGAACUCACAAUAUUUGUUCCUCUUCCUCUUUUUGAGGUCAGUCUAGAUUUCCUUGGGCCAUUUGACGAAUUUUCGUACUAACUUAUGUCUGGAGUACUUGGGCAGACAAACAGGGGCGUGAGUGGGCGGUAGCAUCACUCGUUCGGCGAGGUGGAUUGCGAGGACUCCUAGCUUUAGAGCGCUUAGGAGCUCGGUCCAGGUCUCUUGUGCCUUGUUUCCUCUCUAUAGUCGGGUCCGCCUAGUAUCAGGGUCCCUUUCUCUUAUGAUCAUCCUCUUCUCGGUGCCUUCGUUUGGCUCGCUACCUCUUAGGGCGGCAAUAUACUUUCGGCUUUGCUCGGAGUGUCUAUAAGAAUUUCAGAACGUUUUUUGAACGGGAGUCGAACACGGACGGCAGGUUGAAGUCCUUCCAUCAUUGCCAUGAUUAUCACCUUGUCGCUAGAUCCUCAACUUCUAAUACAGCCUGAUUGACCGUUUCACAAAACUUUCAAUCUCUCGGUUUCUUUUUGGUGGACAGUAACAAGGUGAGAAGUAUUCUUCUGUCAUUUUUGCAGCUCAUGAAAUUGACGACAAAAAAAGGAGGGAGUCGACUAAAAUCGCCAAAAGAGUCUCUGAUUCCUGGUGAUAAGUUUUUCUAACACGACCUGGCCGCCCUUUCCAAGUGGCAGACGAACGCUUGCACAUACCUCAUCCGUAGGCAAACCCUAGAGCGACAUUAGGCUUUUGUACGGUCCGGGGUCCAUCGGAUCUGUCUUUCCUUCUAAAUGCGAGCUGGGUAGGGGAAGGCUUAGCUUGAACUUCGAAGAUAUCCGAGCGCUCAAUACCCAAUUUCUGUGAACGGCGGAUCUGUCUGUCUAAUCAAGUCGCUUCAUAGUUCUGGAAAAGCAUAUUGUUCGUCAGUGUUAAUGGCGUCGAGCCGUGCGUCUAAAUACUCGAAUCUUCCUGCGAGGUGGACUUGUUUCGUCCUCGAUUUGAUCGCCUCUAGGGGGACUCAUCCCCCUUCUCACCCUGGCUCUAGUUUGACUAGAUCUAAAGAGGAACUCCGUUCACGUAGGACGGACUCGGUGUUCGGGCGCUACCCUCCUUAUUCGUAUCAGUAUUGAUGUUCUGAGAAUGAUCUCUCGAACGAUUAGAGUGGGAAUCACUCGAUAUCAGGCAGAUGGUGCUGCCCGGAAGUUGGGGUGUUGGCAGCAGUGAGGAGUUGCAUUAGGCGACCAUUUAUUCUCGUCAUGUCCUUAUCUGCUCAGCCAUAUCUUGUAUCUCCGGUGUGAGGCCUUCUAGAUCUGGAACUUGGCUUGGGUUGGCCAUAGGAUGGGAUAUGUUACCGGGGGGCUACUAGCACUUGGUCUGGGUAGGUAGCAAAUGUGUAGGUGCAUAGGAGAUCGAGAACUGUCGUUCCCACAGACGGCGCCAAACUGUUGUGGUAAAAAACUGGGGCGAGCAACUAACAGUCAAUAUUGCUCUGUCUCCUCGGUACUAGGGCCUCGGAUACUUGAAGGGCGACCUGCACUAGACGAACAAAAGUAAAAGGCCGGGGCGCGGCCGCUCCAUAAACCCCUCACGGCGUGGAGAUCAGACCAAGGCGAUGACAAACGGUUAAAAGAGCUCCAUAAGAGAGUUGUAGAGUCCCGUGUUGAGCGUCUACCUUUGGCAUAAUAGGGGAACGGCUUUUUUAUAGACGGAGUAAUUGGCCGUGCCCAUGGAAUCACGGCGAGAUCCUCUGAAUGAUAGGUAUGGAAAGAUAUCUCGGAGAUGUAGGAGACAUAACUGGGAAGAUUGCCACUAGAGAGUAUCCCGUAAUUGUUGGUGUCGUGAGGAGAGAAUCUCGCGAUUGGGCAUAUAGUAGGAAUCUGGCGGAGAUUGUCAAGCCACAAGUAUGUAAUAACCCGAUUUUUUAUUUUGGGGUUUAAUUAAAGAUUUAUAAAUUUUUGGGAUAAAAAUUAAAGAAGCAUAUAAAAAUGGAGGGAGAAGAAAGUACCUCCCCCCCCCCCCCCCCUAAUUUUCACGUUAAUGGGGGACAAAACAAAGUGACUUUCGGUGGAAAGCCAAAAGAGAGAAAAAAAAAAAUAAAAAGUAAUGCAUAAUGGGGGACGAAAGAAAAGAAAAGAAAGAAAAAAAAUAAUAAGGAAAAUAUAGAUAUUUAUAUAUUUAUAUGAUAUAGAUUAAUAUAUAAAGAGAGAAGGGGUGAGGGGUGAGACUGAGAGAGAAACGGCAGGAGGGGAGGAACGAAAGGAAAGAAAG